GAUGAACGCUGGCGGCGUGCCUAAUACAUGCAAGUCGAACGGUGAAACAAGGAGCUUGCUCUUUUCGGGUUAGCGGCGGACGGGUGAGUAACGCGUAGAUAACCUGCCUGUUAGCCGGGGAUAACUACGGGAAACGAUAGCUAAUACCGCAUAAUAGUAGAUACGGCAUGAUACCGACUUAAAAGGUGCAUUUGCAGCACUACCAGGUGGACCUCCGUUGUGUUAGCUAGUUGGGGAGGGAACAGCCCAACCAGGCGACGAUACCUAGGCGGCCCGGGAGGGUGGACCGCCCACCUGGGACCUGGGCCACGGCCAGAACUCCUACGGGAGCCAGCAUAGGGGAAUUUUGGCAAAGGGCCGAAAUCCUGCCGCAGCAAGCCGGCGGGGGUGAGGAAGGUCUUCGGGUGGUAAGCCCCGUUUUAUGGGAAGGAAGAGCGGCAGAGUGGAACCUUCACGUUGUGACGGUACCUAACCAGAAAGCGACGGCUAACUACGUG
rnacentral:rRNA from 1 species